CCAGCAGCCGCGGUAAUUCCAGCUCCAAUAGCGUAUAUUAAAGUUGUUGCAGUUAAAAAGCUCGUAGUUGGAUUUCUGGCAGGAGCGUCCGGUCUCACACUCAGUGCGGGAACUUGGAUGUCUCUGGCCAUCUUUGGGGAUAUCCUGUUUGGCAUUAAGUUGUCGGGCAGGGGAUACUCAUCGUUUACUGUGAAAAAAAUAGAGUGUUUAAAGCAGGCUUAUGCCGUUGAAUAUAUUAGCAUGGAAUAAUAAGAUAGGACUUUGGUGGUCUAUUUUGUUGGUUUGCACGCCAAAGUAAUGAUUAAUAGGGAUAGUUGGGGGUAUUCGUAUUCAAUUGUCAGAGGUGAAAUUCUUGGAUUUAUGGAAGACGAACUGCUGCGAAAGCAUUUACCAAGGAUCUUUUCAUUAAUCAAGAACGAAAGC
rnacentral:rRNA from 1 species